CCCCAGACUCCUACGGGAGGCAGCAGUGGGGAAUAUUGCACAAUGGGGGGAACCCUGAUGCAGCGACGCCGCGUGGGUGAAGGAGCGUUUCGGCGCGUAAAGCCCUAUCGGCAGGGAAGAAGGAGGACGGUACCUGACUAAGAAGCCCCGGCUAACUACGUGCCAGCAGCCGCGGUAAUACGUAGGCGGCAAGCGUUAUCCGGAUUUACUGGGUGUAAAGGGGGCGCAGACGGCAGCGCAAGCCAGGAGUGAAAGCCCGGGGCCCAACCCCGGGACUGCUCUUGGAACUGCGCGGCUGGAGUGCAGGAGGGGCAGGCGGAAUUCCUGGUGUAGCGGUGAAAUGCGUAGAUAUCAGGAGGAACACCGGUGGCGAAGGCGGCCUGCUGGACUGCGACUGACGUUGAGGCCCGAAAGCGUGGGGAGCAAGCAGGAUUAGAUACCCUCGUAAAA
rnacentral:rRNA from 1 species